GUAGCGCGGGGCACGAGAAAUCUUGCGUGAAACAGCGGGGCCCAUCCCGUAAGGCUAAAUACUCCCGAGAGACCGAUAGCGAACCAGUACCGUGAGGGAAAGGUGAAAAGAACCCCGAGCAGGGGAGUGAAAUAGACCCUGAACCCGUCUGCCUACAAGCGGUCGGAGCAUAGCAAUAUGUGACGGCGUGCCUUUUGCAUAAUGAACCUACGAGUUACCUUCCCCGGCAAGGUUAAGUACCUAAGGUACGGAGCCGAAGCGAAAGCGAGUCUGAAGAGGGCGGCCAGUCGGGGGGGGUAGACGCGAAACCGAGUGAUCUACCCUUGGCCAGGUUGAAGGUUGGGUAACACCAACUGGAGGACCGGAUGGGUAAGCGUUGAAAAGCUUUCCAAUGAGCUGAGGGUAGGGGUGAAAGGCUAAUCAAACUCGGAGAUAGCUCGUACUCCCCGAAAUGCAUUUAGGUGCAGCCUCUUUAUAGUAUAUCGUGAGGUAGAGCGACUGAUUGGAUGCGAGGGCUUCACCGCCUAUCAAGUCCAGAUAAACUCCGAAUGCGCGAUAUAUAUUUAAAGGGAGUGAGGGCGCGGGUGCUAAGGUCCGUGUCCGAGAGGAGAAGAAUCCAGACCACCGGCUAAGGCCCCCAAAUGAUCGUUGAGUUGAACUAACGAGGUCGGAUCGCAGAGACAGCUAGGAUGUUGGCUUGGAAGCAGCCAUUCAUUUAAAGAGUGCGUAACAGCUCACUAGUCGAGCGAUCUGGCGUGGAUAAUAAUCGGGCAUAAACGAUCUGCCGAAGCCGUGGAUGUCGUAAGACAUGGUAGGGGAGCAUUCCAUGCGGCGUCGAAGAUGAGGGAUGACCCUUGUUGGAGCGCAUGGAAAAGCAAAUGUAGGUAUGAGUAACGAUAAGGGGGGCGAGAAACCCCCCCGCCGAAAGACCAAGGUUUCCUGAUCAACGCUAAUCGGAUCAGGGUGAGUCGGGACCUAAGGCAAAGCCGAACGGCGACGCCGAUGGAAGAAUGGGUUAAUAUUCCCAUACUGCCUCAUGGAGUGACGUGGAGACGGAGAAGUGACAGUCCUGCCGGCUGACGGAAUAGCCGGUUGAAGGGUGUAGAUAUUGAUUCCCGUAGGCAAAUCCGCGGGGAGAGUCGAACCUGACAGUAUACCGAGUACUUGUACGAGGUAAUAUGGACGUAACCAUGCUCCCAAGAAAAUCCGCUAAACUUAUCCAUGCGGCACCCGUACCGUAAACGGACACACGUGGUCGGGUUGAGAAUACUGAGGCGCUCGAGUGAUUCACGGUUAAGGAACUAGGCAAAUUGACCCUGUAACUUCGGGAUAAAGGGUCCUCGUCGUAAGGCGAGGCGCAGAGAAUAGGUCCAGGCAACUGUUUAACAAAAACACAUGGCUAUGCUAAAUGGAAACAUGACGUAUAUAGCCUGACACCUGCCCGGUGCUGGAAGGUUAAGAGGAGAUGUCAUCGCAAGAGAAGCGUUGAAUUGAAGCCCCAGUAAACGGCGGCCGUAACUAUAACGGUCCUAAGGUAGCGAAAUUCCUUGUCGGGUAAGUUCCGACCUGCACGAAUGGUGUAAUGAUCUGGACACUGUCUCAACCGUGAGCUCGGUGAAAUUGUAGUAUCGGUGAAGAUGCCGAUUACCCGCGAUGGGACGAAAAGACCCCGUGAACCUUUACUAUAGCUUUACAUUGAAUUUGGGCAGACGAUGUGUAGGAUAGGCCGGAGGCUUUGAAGGGGGUACGCCAGUAUCCUUGGAGCCGCCGUUGAAAUACGGCCCUUCGGUUGUUUGAGUUCUAACUCCUAGGCAGGAGGACACUGUAUGGUGGGUAGUUUGACUGGGGUGGUCGCCUCCAAAAGCGUAACGGAGGCUUCUAAAGGUGCCCUCAGACCGAUUGGUAACCGGUCGCAGAGUGUAAUGGCAUAAGGGCGCUUGACUGGGAGAGAUACAACUCGAUCAGGUAGGAAACUAGAGCAUAGUGAUCCGGUGGUUCCGCAUGGAAGGGCCAUCGCUCAAAGGAUAAAAGGUACUCCGGGGAUAACAGGCUGAUCAUUCCCAAGAGCUCAUAUCGACGGAAUGGUUUGGCACCUCGAUGUCGGCUCGUCACAUCCUGGGGCUGGAGAAGGUCCCAAGGGUUGGGCUGUUCGCCCAUUAAAGUGGCACGCGAGCUGGGUUCAGAACGUCGUGAGACAGUUCGGUCUCUAUCUAUCGUGGGCGCAGGAGAUUUGAGGGGCUCUGACACUAGUACGAGAGGACCGUGUUGGACGUACCACUGGUUUACCGGUUGUCCCGCCAGGGGCACCGCCGGGUAUCUAAGUACGGAUCGGAUAAGUGCUGAAAGCAUCUAAGUACGAAGCCGGCCUCAAGAUUAGAUCUCCCUGAAGGGUGGUUAUAGACGAUGACCUUGAUAGGCCACAGGUGUAAGGGCGGCGACGUCCGAGCCGAGUGGUACUAAUAGCCCGGGACUUUCCUCA
rnacentral:rRNA from 1 species